CCAUGCAUGUGCAUGACGUAGGUUCCUACCCCUGAGUAUGUGAGGGACUAUCCACGUGACCAGUGCGACCGUGAACUACUGUUUCAUGUUCGCCUUGUUUAUGGCGUGAUUUUACUUGUGGAAGAAGCCCAUACGUCUGAGUGGGCUUCACAUGACGGGCGCGUGAUCGCCAGAUGCUGGAAUGGGCCAACUUGAAAUGACAACAGGUCUUUCGUGACGCAGAAUGAGGGACGAACAGAGGUUUAGAUCAACUACCGGAAGACAGUCAUAGGUAUCACGAACGAGAAGUGGUUGCUGUCGUUUAACUAGUCCUUUAUCCUCACCAGUAGAUGACUUGUAUUAUGAUCCGUUUGCGGAUGCACAAUUUCAUACUGUGGGGUUUCACCAUGAAACAUUGAUUGGUUAAUAUUGGACUGUGCGUAACUGCAUAUUUGAACUUUUCGUGACACCAAUUCUUCACAGGUGGUUGCUGGUGUGAAGACAUCCAUGUCGUAUGAAGAGACGGUAGUUGCAUUGGUAUAUCUAACAAUGUUGUGUAGUAGAGUGUGAUUGGUAGAGUGAAUGCGUUUGUAUAUUACCUGUUUUUUUAUGUAAAUAAACUUGUACUCAUAUUCAUUA